rnacentral:rRNA from 1 species
AACGAACGCUGGCGGCAUGCCUAACACAUGCAAGUCGAACGAGACCUUCGGGUCUAGUGGCGCACGGGUGCGUAACGCGUGGGAACCUGCCCUUAGGUUCGGAAUAACUCCCCGAAAGGGGUGCUAAUACCGGAUAAUGUCUUCGGACCAAAGAUUUAUCGCCUUUGGAUGGGCCCGCGUUAGAUUAGCUAGUUGGUAGGGUAAAAGCCUACCAAGGCGACGAUCCAUAGCUGGUCUGAGAGGAUGAUCAGCCACACUGGGACUGAGACACGGCCCAGACUCCUACGGGAGGCAGCAGUGGGGAAUAUUGGACAAUGGGCGAGAGCCUGAUACAGCAAUGCCGCGUAAGUGAUGAAGGCCUUAGGGUUGUAAAGCUCUUUUACCCGGGAUGAUAAUGACAGUACCGGGAGAAUAAGCGCCGGCUAACUCCGUG